rnacentral:rRNA from 1 species
UACAGAGGGUGCAAGCGUUGUUCGGAAUUAUUGGGCGUAAAGGGCGCGUAGGCGGUGCGGUAAGUCUGUAGUGAAAUCUCUGGGCUCAACUCAGAGUCUGCUGCAGAAACUGCCGUGCUUGAGUGUGGGAGAGGUGAGUGGAAUUUCCGGUGUAGCGGUGAAAUGCGUAGAUAUCGGAAGGAACACCUGUGGCGAAAGCGACUCACUGGACCAUUACUGACGCUGAGGCACGAAAGCUAGGGGAGCAAACAGG